UAAGGUUAAGUUAAUAAGGGCGCACGGUGGAUGCCUUGGCACUAGAAGCCGAAGAAGGACGUGACUAACGACGAAAUGCUUUGGGGAGCUGUAAGUAAGCGCUGAUCCAGAGAUGUCCGAAUGGGGGAACCCACUAGUUAAUGACUAGUAUCCAUAUCUGUUAAGGAUAUGAGAAGGAAGACGCAGUGAACUGAAACAUCUAAGUAGCUGCAGGAAGAGAAAGCAAAAGCGAUUGCCUUAGUAGCGGCGAGCGAAACGGCAGGAGGGCAAACCGAAGUGUUUACACUUCGGGGUUGUAGGACUGCGAUAUAGGAUUAAUCAUUAUAGAAGAAUUACCUGGGAAGGUAAGCCAAAGAGAGUAACAGCCUCGUAUUUAAAAUGAUAGAUUAACCUUAGCAGUAUCCUGAGUACGGCGAGACACGCGAAAUCUCGUCGGAAUCUGGGAGGACCAUCUCCCAACCCUAAAUACUCUCUAGUGACCGAUAGUGAACCAGUACCGUGAGGGAAAGGUGAAAAGCACCCCGGGAGGGGAGUGAAAUAGAACCUGAAACCGUGUGCCUACAACAAGUUCGAGCCCGUUAAUGGGUGAGAGCGUGCCUUUUGUAGAAUGAACCGGCGAGUUACGAUAUGAUGCGAGGUUAAGUUGAAGAGACGGAGCCGUAGGGAAACCGAGUCUUAAUAGGGCGCCAUAGUAUCAUGUUGUAGACCCGAAACCAUGUGACCUACCCAUGAGCAGGUUGAAGGUGAGGUAAAACUCACUGGAGGACCGAACCAGGGCACGUUGAAAAGUGCUUGGAUGACUUGUGGGUAGCGGAGAAAUUCCAAACGAACUUGGAGAUAGCUGGUUCUCUCCGAAAUAGCUUUAGGGCUAGCGUCGAUGUUAAGUCUCUUGGAGGUAGAGCACUGUUUGGGUGAGGGGUCCAUCCCGGAUUACCAAUCUCAGAUAAACUCCGAAUGCCAACGAGAUAUAAUCGGCAGUCAGACUGCGAGUGCUAAGAUCCGUAGUCGAAAGGGAAACAGCCCAGACCACCAGCUAAGGUCCCAAAAUAUAUGUUAAGUGGAAAAGGAUGUGGGGUUGCACAGACAACUAGGAUGUUAGCUUAGAAGCAGCUAUUCAUUCAAAGAGUGCGUAAUAGCUCACUAGUCGAGUGACCCUGCGCCGAAAAUGUACCGGGGCUAAAACAUAUUACCGAAGCUGUGGAUGACACAAAAGUGUCAUGGUAGGAGAGCGUUCUAUGUGUGAAGAAGGUGUACCGUGAGGAGCGCUGGAACGCAUAGAAGUGAGAAUGCCGGUAUGAGUAGCGCAAGACAGGUGAGAAUCCUGUCCACCGUAAGACUAAGGUUUCCAGGGGAAGGCUCGUCCGCCCUGGGUUAGUCGGGACCUAAGGAGAGACCGAAAGGUGUAUCCGAUGGACAACAGGUUGAUAUUCCUGUACUAGAGUAUAUAGUGAUGGAGGGACGCAGUAGGCUAACUAAACCAGACGAUUGGAAGUGUCUGGUCAAACAGUGAGGUGUGAUAUGAGUCAAAUGCUUAUAUCUUUAACAUUGAGCUGUGACGAGGAGCGAAGUUUAGUAGCGAAGUUAGUGAUGUCACACUGCCAAGAAAAGCUUCUAGCGAUACAUAUACUCUACCCGUACCGCAAACCGACACAGGUAGUCGAGGCGAGUAGCCUCAGGUGAGCGAGAGAACUCUCGUUAAGGAACUCGGCAAAAUGGCCCCGUAACUUCGGGAGAAGGGGCGCUGAUUUUAGAUCAGCCGCAGUGAAUAGGCCCAAGCAACUGUUUAUCAAAAACACAGCUCUCUGCUAAAUCGUAAGAUGAUGUAUAGGGGGUGACGCCUGCCCGGUGCUGGAAGGUUAAGAGGAGUGCUUAGCGUAAGCGAAGGUAUGAAUUGAAGCCCCAGUAAACGGCGGCCGUAACUAUAACGGUCCUAAGGUAGCGAAAUUCCUUGUCGGGUAAGUUCCGACCCGCACGAAAGGCGUAAUGAUUUGGGCACUGUCUCAACGAGAGACUCGGUGAAAUUUUAGUACCUGUGAAGAUGCAGGUUACCCGCGACAGGACGGAAAGACCCCAUGGAGCUUUACUGCAGUUUGAUAUUGAGUAUCUGUACCACAUGUACAGGAUAGGUAGGAGCCUAUGAUAACGGGACGCCAGUUUCGUUUGAGGCGUUGUUGGGAUACUACCCUUGUGUUAUGGCUACUCUAACCCAGAUAGGCAAUCCCUAUCGGAGACAGUGUCUGACGGGCAGUUUGACUGGGGCGGUCGCCUCCUAAAAGGUAACGGAGGCGCCCAAAGG
rnacentral:rRNA from 1 species